AGUGAACGCUGGCGGCGUGCCUAAUACAUGCAAGUCGAACGGAGCGGCGCACGGGUGAGUAAUAUAUAGCUAAUACGCCCCUAGAUGGAGGACAACAGUUAGAAAUGACUGCUAAUACUCCAUAGCAAGGGAUAGGACCAUAUCGUAUCAGCUAGUCGGUGGGGUAACGGCCUACCGAGGCUAUGACGCGUAACUGGUCUGAGAGGAUGAUCAUUCACAUUUGAACGGAGACACAGGCCAAACGCCUACGGGAGGCAGCAGUAGGGAAUAUUUCACAAUGGGGGAAACCCUGACGCAGCAACGCCGCGUGGAGGAUGACACUUUUCGGGGCGUAAACUCCUUUUGUUAGAGAAGCGGUACCUAACGAAUAAGCACCGGCUAACUCCGUGCCAGCAGCCGCGGUAAUAC
rnacentral:rRNA from 1 species